rnacentral:tRNA from 1 species
GGAGGGGUGGGUGAGUGGCUGAAACCAACGGUUUGCUAAAUCGUCGUAGGGCUUAAACCCUACCGCGGGUUCGAAUCCCGCCCCCUCCGCCA